GGGGAUAUAGCACAAUGGUAGUGCAUUACCUUUCAAUAUAGUUUUAUGGGUUUAGUAAAGACUGUAGGUUCGAUUCCUACUAUCCCCU
rnacentral:tRNA from 1 species